AGAAGAGAUUCCAGCCUCGGACAGGAAAGCGGCACGAUUCCCCCGGGCCAGUGUGAUGCCUGCCAGGGCUCAGGGGUGACCUGCCAGGGCUCCUGCGGCCAUGCCUUGUGCAGGACGUGUUUUGCAGCAGACAGUGUGCAGCCAGCAUGCUGCAGCUUCUCCUCAGCCGCCCGGAGUCCCAAGAUCCGGGGGACAUUCAAGAUCUCCUCUCUGUCUCAGAGCCUGCCCGGCUACUAUCGAGACCUGACGCUUCAAGUUGCUUACAGUAUCCCUGAUGGCGUGCAGGGGGUUGGGGAUCCUCGCCCAGGACAGUCUUACAAAGGGGGAGAUUUCUGUGCCUUCCUGCCUGACAACAAGGAAGGGCAGAAGACAGCACUGCUGCUGAAGAAAGCAUUUGAGCAUGGACUGACAUUCCAGAUCAAGUCCUGCAACGGAGAGGAAAGAGUGACAUGGGGCCUUAUCCCACACAAAACCUCCUUGAGUGGAGGCAAAGCCAGGAACGGCUACCCUGACGCCCAGUACCUCCGGGAGGUCCGUGCAGUUCUGAAGAAACUGGGCAUUGCAUGAGACUCCUGUGGCCACAGCCCAUGGCUUUGCUUCGCCUUCCCUUCCUGCUGACAAAACUGCAGCUUAAUAGAGACAGCUGUUAAUCCAUGGAGCUCCUGUGUCCCCCGUAGGUAGCCAGAAAUCUGCGCAUUAGCGGCAGCAGCACCUCCAUCCCUGCCCCUAACAGGCCUCA